rnacentral:lncRNA from 1 species
CAUUAGUACUUCUUGUAGGAUGCCCGUAAGGUUGGUGUGGGUGGGCCAAAUAUACCUCGAACUCUCAUCUGAAAUUUUCUGUCUUUCAAAAAGAUUACGGUUGAACGUAAGUGCUCUACCACAACUUUUCUUGCGCAGCGUUCCUCUUAUUAGAGUUGCAUAAGGUACUGUAUUAAAAGCCAUCGUGAUGUUGAUAUUAAUGGUUUGCAACAUAUUUGCACGUAGUGCAGGAGCACUAGCAAAUUCAAGUUCACUAGCAACCUG